GACGAACGCUGGCGGCGUGCUUAACACAUGCAAGUCGAACGUGAUUUUUGUGGAAAUUCUUUCGGGAAUGGAAAUGAAAUGAAAGUGGCGAACGGGUGAGUAACACGUGAGCAACCUACCUUACACAGGGGGAUAGCCGUUGGAAACGACGAUUAAUACCGCAUGAGACCACAGAAUCGCAUGAUAUAGGGGUCAAAGAUUUAUCGGUGUAAGAAGGGCUCGCGUCUGAUUAGCUAGUUGGAAGGGUAAAGGCCUACCAAGGCGACGAUCAGUAGCCGGUCUGAGAGGAUGAACGGCCACAUUGGAACUGAGACACGGUCCAAACUCCUACGGGAGGCAGCAGUGGGGAAUAUUGCACAAUGGGGGGAACCCUGAUGCAGCGACGCCGCGUGAGCGAAGAAGGUUUUCGAAUCGUAAAGCUCUGUCCUAUGAGAAGAUAAUGACGGUAUCAUAGGAGGAAGCCCCGGCUAAUACGUG
rnacentral:rRNA from 1 species